rnacentral:rRNA from 1 species
AUUAUGCAUUACGCUGGGAAAUUGAAACCUUAUUCAGUUGUCUCAAAGGACGCGGGUUUAAUCUUGAAAAUACGCGCUUGACAGACCCUAGACGAGUGAAAAAAUUGAUUGCGGUGUUAGCUAUAAGCUUCUGUUGGUGUUACUUAACGGGUGAAUGGCAACAUGAUCAAAAAAAAGCGAUAAAAAUAAAGAAGCAUGGACGACUCUCAAUGAGUUUAU